AGAGUUUGAUCCUGGCUCAGAACGAACGCUUGCGGCGUGCCUAAGAAAUGCAAGUCGAACGAGCCCAGGGCUUCGGCCUGAAGGCUAGUGGCGAACGGUCGAGUAACGCGUGGGUAACCUGCCCUUAAGUGGGGGAUAACAGUUGGAAACGACUGCUAAUACCGCAUAAAGUUAAGAGUCCACAUGGACUUUUAACCAAAGGAGUAAUCCGCUUUUGGAUGGACCCGCGUCUGAUUAGCUAGUUGGUGGGGUAACGGCUCACCAAGGCGACGAUCAGUAGCCGGCCUGAGAGGGUGAUCGGCCACACUGGGACUGAGACACGGCCCAGACUCCUACGGGAGGCAGCAGUGGGGAAUCUUCCGCAAUGGACGAAAGUCUGACGGAGCAACGCCGCGUGAGGGAUGAAGGCCUUCGGGUUGUAAACCUCUGUCUUCAGGGAAGAAAAAAAUGACGGUACCUGAGGAGGAAGCCCCGGCUAACUACGUGCCAGCAGCCGCGGUAAUACGUAGGGGGCGAGCGUUAUCCGGAAUUAUUGGGCGUAAAGGGCGCGUAGGCGGAUAUUUAAGUCAGAUGUGAAAACCCGGGGCUCAACCGCGGGAUUGCAUCUGAUACUGGGUAUCUUGAGGACAGGAGAGGAAAGUGGAAUUCCUAGUGUAGCGGUGAAAUGCGUAGAUAUUAGGAGGAACACCAGUGGCGAAGGCGACUGCCUGGACGACACCUGACGCUGAGGCGCGAAAGCUAGGGGAGCAAACGGGAUUAGAUACCCCGGUAGUCCUAGCCGUAAACGAUGGGUACUAGGUGUGGGAGGUAUCGACCCCUUCCGUGCCGGAGUUAACACAAUAAGUACCCCGCCUGGGGAGUACGGCCGCAAGGUUGAAACUCAAAGGAAUUGACGGGGGCCCGCACAAGCAGCGGAGCAUGUUGUUUAAUUCGAAGCAACGCGAAGAACCUUACCAGGGCUUGACAUCCACUGAACCUGCCGGAAACGGCGGGGUGCCGCAAGGAGCAGUGAGACAGGUGGUGCAUGGUUGUCGUCAGCUCGUGUCGUGAGAUGUUGGGUUAAGUCCCGUAACGAGCGAAACCCUUGUCUUUAGUUGCCAACGCGUAACGGCGGGUACUCUAAAGAGACUGCCGGUGUUAAACCGGAGGAAGGCGGGGAUGACGUCAAGUCCUCAUGGCCCUUAUACCCUGGGCGUCACACGUACUACAAUGGCGGGUACAAAGGGUCGCCAAGUCGCGAGACGGAGCCAAUCCCAGAAAACCCGUCCCAGUUCGGAUCGAAGGCUGCAACUCGCCUUCGUGAAGUCGGAAUCGCUAGUAAUCGCGGAUCAGCCAUGCCGCGGUGAAUAUGUACCCGAGCCUUGUACACACCGCCCGUCAAGCCAUGGAAGCCGGGAGUGCCUGAAGUCAGUGGCCUAACCCGCAAGGGAGGGAACUGCCGACGGCAAGCCUGGUGACUGGGACUAAGUCGUAACAAGGUAUCC
rnacentral:rRNA from 1 species